GAUAAAGUUUAUCGCAACAGGCUAGAUAAAAUUUGUUGCAUAAAAAGUGGCUACCUACAAACCCCUAUACCUGUGUAAUGUGCCAGAAAACUUGGCUUUAAUCUUUAAGAAGCAGCAGCAGCAGCAACAAGAACAGUGUCAUCUACCUUGUCGGGAUGCCCUUCUUCGAAUCUUCAUUUUAGGAAAUGAAGGCCACGAGUAAUUAAAAGGUGGUGAUUUGCCGGACACCAGAUUCUCAGGCUCUGUAAAAUGGAGAUUUCUCAUCAGUGUCUGCUGAAAAAUUGUAACAGGCGGUUGGGUGUUGAUUUCUUGUCCUCAGAGAGAAAAGGAAACUAAAAGGGAAUGUAAAUCAAUUUCUUCCCCCCAAAAUGUGGCCUUGAGUAGGUUCUUAAUAUGUAUUUUCUUGCAAGCCAACAAGCCGGAGAACUGACUGAUAAAUAGGGCUGGAAUGGCAGUAUUAUUAGUACUAGGCAACCUGUAAACAAGCUCAGGAGCGUUCACAGGAUAUCCUGGGGAAAAAAAUGAGCAUUAAAUAAAUAAAUGCACUUGA